rnacentral:rRNA from 1 species
CGAACGGGUGAGUAACACGUGGGCAACCUGCCCAAAAGAGGGGGAUAACACUUGGAAACAGGUGCUAAUACCGCAUAACCAUAGUUACCGCAUGGUAACUAUGUAAAAGGUGGCUAUGCUACCGCUUUUGGAUGGGCCCGCGACGCAUUAGCUAGUUGGUGGGGUAAAGGCUUACCAAGGCGAUGAUGCGUAGCCGAACUGAGAGGUUGAUCGGCCACAUUGGGACUGAGACACGGCCCAAACUCCUACGGGAGGCAGCAG